CCUGGCGGCCUUAGCGCGGUGGUCCCACCUGACCCCAUGCCGAACUCAGAAGUGAAACGCCGUAGCGCCGAUGGUAGUGUGGGGUUUCCCCAUGCGAGAGUAGGGAACUGCCAGAC
rnacentral:rRNA from 1 species